UACGUAGGGUGCAAGCGUUAUCCGGAAUGAUUGGGCGUAAAGCGUCCGCAGGUGGCUAUGUAAGUCUGCUGUUAAAGAGUCUAGCUCAACUAGAUAAGAGCAGUGGAAACUACAAGGCUAGAGUACGUUCGGGGCAGAGGGAAUUCCUGGUGUAGCGGUGAAAUGCGUAGAGAUCAGGAAGAACACCAGUGGCGAAGGCGCUCUGCUAGGCCGUAACUGACACUGAGGGACGAAAGCUAGGGGAGCGAAUGGG
rnacentral:rRNA from 1 species